AGAGUUUGAUCCUGGCUCAGGACGAACGCUGGCGGCGUGCUUAACACAUGCAAGUCGAGCGGAAAGGCCCUUCGGGGUACUCGAGCGGCGAACGGGUGAGUAACACGUGAGCAAUCUGCCCCUAGCUCUGGGAUAGCUCCGGGAAACCGGAAUUAAUACCGGAUAUGACCGUGGCCGACAUCAGCUACGGUGGAAAGUUU
rnacentral:rRNA from 1 species